rfam:Bacillus sp. SA2-6 scf7180000001086, whole genome shotgun sequence.
UGAGGAAAGAAGAAGCACCCGCUUCUCACCUGGCUGACGCAGAGUGGCAGUUGGCAGGUUUUACGUAAACGACUGUUUUAUUAUGUAUGGUUUCGUAAAGUGUGGGUGUUUUCGCCCGCACUUUUUUGUUUGC